rnacentral:rRNA from 1 species
UACGUAGGGGGCAAGCGUUGUCCGGAAUCAUUGGGCGUAAAGAGCGUGUAGGCGGCCAGAUAAGUCCGCUGUGAAAUCUCGAGGCUCAACUUCGAGCUGUCGGUGGAAACUGUCUGGCUAGAGUCCGGAAGAGGAGGAUGGAAUUCCUGGUGUAGCGGUGAAAUGCGCAGAUAUCAGGAAGAACACCCGUGGCGAAGGCGGUUCUCUGGGACGGUACUGACGCUGAGACGCGAAAGCGUGGGGAGCGAACAGG